rnacentral:lncRNA from 1 species
GACAGCUUCAGCAAUUGAGUCCAUCAUUACGGAGUUCAAUGGACCUGCAGGCCUUGACAUUGAUGGAAUCCACCUGUUCAAAUCAGCACAGGCAGUGGAUUCUCACUGGGCAACUGCAAGCAAGCAUCUUAGUUGUAUGCAGGUGGGUUUUUGAACUAAUCAUUGUAAUAUCAUACAAACUCAAACUCACAGACACCAUAAUAAAUAAGCAAUGUAUGUUUUAUAGGACCCCCCGGCAUACAGCUGUAUGUGUCAGUGAAGGUGGUGGUGCUGAAUGGUGUCUGCCUGAACAAGUACAGGUGUCAGCGAGGCAGUAACUCCUUGGAGGGCUUGCACUCACACCUGUACAAUGCCAUUCCCUCACAGAGAUGUGGAGUUAUGCCAUUCCAAGUGUAUCUGAUUGCAUUUGCUGUGCAGUGGAACAGCCGCCAGGAAUCACUCCGGGUUGCUGGUGGUCAUGGCAGGCAGACGUGGUGUAUGAACCCACGGCAGAUUCAGCGCCUGAAUCAGCAGGCUGAGGUGCUCUUCAGUAAAGAGCAUGUCCUCGAGCCCAACUUUGCCGAUCCAAUGCCCUACCCUGCUGUAUACAAGGACCCAGACGAGGAGGAGCUCCUUGGAGUAGAAUAUGCCAUGUGCCAGUCAACCAGCUUCACUGCAAAGGAUUACUAUACCCAGCAAGUUGAGGAAGAGCAGUCCCGUGAAGAAGAGGAGACGGCUGAACAAAGUGAGGACAAGCUGGCUGAUGAAGGUGUGGACAUGGGUGCAGAGUCAGAGUAGGAUCCUACACUCAAAAAAAUGAUUUUUCAGUUUUGUUCACUUUACCUGAACAAUUCAUGUUGAAUUAAUGCCAUUUUGGCUAUUUUUCAUUUCAACAUGAUUGUGUCAUGUUAAACUGACUUAAAACUGUCACUCGUUGGUUUAACAUAAAGUUUUCAUUUUGAAAGAACAUGUUUCAAUCAAGUACCUCAAAAUAAGUUUUACAUUUGCCAUCAUGCUUUGCACAGGACUGGAUAUGGGGAGAGAAAAUGUUGAAAUAAAGUAUUAUUUUAUGCAGUUUUUAGUAAAAUGUGAUAAUAAGGAGACUUUUUCAUGUCUAAUGCUCUAUUAUGUGGGCAUUUUAAAAGACUUUAUAUUGGUGUAUUUUGUGCGAGUUACCAUUGUGGUGAAGUGUGGAGCUUGUGGUUGGGUUGAGGACCUGGUUAAAAGAAAGUCUAAAAUACUUAAUUUAAAAAAAAGACAACUUUAAUGAGAGUGCUAGUGCAUGAUGUACACAUAGUAACAUCCUUAAACUGCAAACAACUAACAUCAUGUGUAAAGAAAAGUUAUAUCUUACUUGCUAAUGUUUUUAUAACACUUUGGCUAAACUUGCAUGGACAGUGGUUCUACAUGAUGUAAAAUAUUAUCUCUACUCAGAUAUUUCAUGUAGGAUGAACUAAAGCAAACUGAGUAAACUCAACUAAAAGUAGACAUGUCCUUAUAACUUGAUUUAUUCAUGUCCAAAUAACAUGGUACAAACAUGUGGAACCACUGUCCAUGAAAGAAUCAUGUUCAGCCAAAGAGUCAUCUAGAGUAAACUACAACUAAAAGUAAGACAUAGUACCUUAUAACUUGUAUUAUUCAUGUCCAAUAACAUGGUACA